GGGUUGGCCAAGUGGUCAAGGCUUGGGACUAAGGCUCCUAAGGUCUCAUGUUCGAAUCAUCUCAGCUGCU